rnacentral:rRNA from 1 species
CCUACGUGGUGCAGCAGUAGGGAAUAUUGCUCAAUGGGGGAAACCCUGAAGCAGCAACGCCGCGUGGAGGACGAAGGUUUUCGGAUUGUAAACUCCUUUUGUUAGAGAAGAUAAUGACGGUAUCUAACGAAUAAGCACCUGCUAACUCCGUGACAGCAGCCGCGGUAAUACCGAGGGUGCAAGCGUUACUCGGAAUCACUGGGCGUAAGGAGCGCGUAGGCGGUAUAGAAAGUCAGAUGUGAAAUCCUAUGUCUUAACCAGAGAACUGCCUUUGAAAAUGUUAUUCUAGAGUAUGGAAGUGGUAGGUGGAAUUCUUGGUGUAGGGGUAAAAUCCGUAGAGAUCAAACGGAAUACUGAUUGCGAAGGCGACCUGCUAAAACAUAACUGACGCUGAUGCGCGAAAGCGUGGGGAGCAAACAGGAUUAGAUACCCGUGUAGUC